CUCCCUCCCCCUUAUCAGCAUGGGUGACUGACUCACCUUGCUCCACCUAGUGGCUUUUGGAAUGAAAUUUUCUGGAAAGAAAGGGAAGAAGAAAGAAAAAUUCUACUAUCUUUUGGAAUGAAUAUGCUUGGUGAAUGUGGAAUUAUCUCACUUAUUUUUAACAACUUAUUCAGCAAAAUGGGGAAACAAUGAAACCAGCCCUGCUUCCUCUUUUGCUGUUUAUGUCCAAGCCUACAUUCAAGCUCUCUUUAAGAUUUUAUUGGACAGUUAUUAGAUGCAAGAAACAUCACUGGAAACAGCUCAGUAAACAGAUGACAGUCAUGAUGUUCAUGGUGACAAUGAUGUUAAGACCAUAGUAUGGACCAACCAAGUCAGAUUCAUAAGACAGAAGAGUGAUAUAUAAUGAAGCUGAAACCAACCAACCAACCAACCAAAAAAAAAAAAAGAACCCAGAAGUUUAAGAACUGGUUCCAAAAUAAUACCAAUAUCAGCUUAAAUAUUUAAAGAUAUAUUUAUCAUAAGCUGAAUAUGGAGGGGAAGAU
rnacentral:lncRNA from 1 species